rnacentral:rRNA from 1 species
GUACGGAGGAUGCAAGCGUUAUCCGGAUUUACUGGGCGUAAAGGGCGUGUAGGCGGUCUUGCAAGUCAGAAGUGAAAUUCCUGAGCUCAACUCGGGCGCUGCUUCUGAAACUGCAGGACUUGAGUGCUGGAGGGGAUAGCGGAAUUCCUAGUGGAGCGGUGAAAUGCGUAGAUAUUAGGAGGAACACCAGUGGCGAAGGCGACUUUCUGGACAGUAACUGACGCUGAGGUACGAAAGCGUGGGGAGCAAACAGGAUUAGAUACCCUGGUAGUCCACGCGGUAAACGAUGAUCACUAGGUGUUGGCACGCAUAGCGUGUCGGUGCCGCAGCAAACGCAAUAAGUGAUCCACCUGGGGAGUACGUUCGCAAGAAUGAAACUCAAAUGAAUUGGCGGGG